rnacentral:rRNA from 1 species
CCUACGGGGGGCAGCAGUGGGGAAUAUUGGGCAAUGGGCGCAAGCCUGACCCAGCAACGCCGCGUGAAGGAAGAAGGCUUUCGGGUUGUAAACUUCUUUUCUCAGGGACGAAGAAAGUGACUGUACCCACAGAAUAAGCCUCGGCUAACUACGUGCCAGCAGCCGCGGUAAUACGUAGGAGGCAAGCGUUAUCCGGAAUGACUGGGCGUAAAGGGUGCGUAGGUGGUUCGGCAAGUUAGUAGCGUAAUUCCGGGGCUCAACCUCGGAACUACUACUAAAACUGUUGGGCUUGAGUGCAGGAGGGGCAUAUGGAAUUCCUAGUGUAGCGGUGGAAUGCGUAGAUAUUAGGAAGAACACCAGUGGCGAAGGCGAUAUGCUGGACUGUAACUGACACUGAGGCACGAAAGCGUGGGGAGCAAACAGGAUUAGAUACCCCAGUAGUC